rnacentral:rRNA from 1 species
AUGUCGCUCUACAACUUCACGUACGUCCUCAUCGGCGACUCAGGUGUCGGUAAGACAUGCCUGCUUGUGCAGUUCCUCCACAAGGAGUUCCACCCUGUCGUUGAUUUCAACAUCGACACCGAGUGCGGGGACAAGAUGAUAACCAUCGACAACAAGCCCGCCAAGCUCCUGAUUUGGGACACGCCAGGCCGAAAUGCAUUCAGAUCGUUAACUACACCACUAUACGACGAGGCUGUCGGUGCUCUCUUGGUUUAUGACAUCACCAGGAGGGAGACUUUUAACCAUCUCACCAACUGGCUACAAGAUGCAAGGAAAUAUGCGCACCCUGGCAUGACAAUAAUGCUGAUUGGGAACAAAUGCGAUCUAUCUCACAGCCGUGCAGUGAGCUAUGAGGAAGGCGAGCAGUUUGCAAAGGACCAUGGCCUUCUCUUCAUGGAGGCAUCUGCAAAAACUGCACAGAAUGUUGUGGAGGGUUUCCUUCAGACUGCUGUAGCAAUAUACAAGAAAAUUCAGGAUCCUUCAUCCGAUCUAUAUAAUUAG